UGGUGAGAAAAUCCUGCCCCCUAGGGUUUACAGUUCUCAAGGGGACAAUAAGCUAUGCAGCAAAUAGCAUACAAUAUAUAAAAUAUUUGAGAAAUGAAGUAGAGGAGACAGGAUAUGCUAAUAUUCAGAAUAUGCUAAUAAGAAGGCUUGUAAUUUGCCUUCUCCCCAAAUCCUGAAAAACAUGAAACAGUUCACUCGGGAAGAAUGAAUGGAAACCAAGUGACUCUCUCUGGUCUUGUUCUUGUUAAAAUGCACACCUACACACCUCCAUGCAUACAUAUAUACACACAUAUGUGCAUACAUACAUAUGUACCGACAGACAGACAGACAUGGCAUACACCAUGAGGGCCCCUCUUUACUGUCCAACUUCACUGCUGGUUUGAGUUUUUGGCGAGCCCUCUGCUGGCGUGCCUACUCCUCAGCUGCGUGGCCACAUAUCGCCAGGGUGAAUAUUCAGAGUGAGCUUGGGUGUCCUUGGCUUAGAUUAAAUCUAGUAAUAUCACAUAGGCUGGGUUUUUAUUUUACAUAAUUUGGUUUAUUUCCUCUGAUGAUAGCAUCAAAAAAAUGUCAUCUUUAAUUCCAAGUCACUUUUAAAUUUUUCCCUGCCCUGCCUUAAAGUCUAUAUUUCUUAGUCACAUCAAGGACACAAAACUGGCAGUUUCAAGAGACAUUUUGUGAAUUUAGAAUCCCAAACCUAGGAAGAAGAUUCUGUGUAAAAUGCAGAAGGGUUCUCAAAAAAUUUGCAACCAGAUUCUUCAACCUCUCUAACCCACAGUAACGAAGUCCAUCCUAAUCCUGGGAGCGCAUCCUCCUCCCACAGGCCCUCCUCCCAGGGUUCUGUUGCCUAGCCAGGCUCCUGCAUUUCCAGGUCACGCCCAGCUCCUUCCCCAGGUGUGGGACACAGGGUGUGCCAUGAGAAACUCCUCUAGUUUGGGUGAGAAGUAAAACCUAGUUGGUAAUGCGGAUUCGUUCAAGUUUACUUUUAACUAAAUAUUAAUCGAAAUAUACGUGCUUAUUGCUGUGCAGAUUAAAAUACUGGAAGCACAUAUUCUGGAGUAUGCAUAGCUAUUGGCUAAAACAUACCUGUAAGGAUCCAAUUUAUUCUUGUCUUUAUAGUUUGCUUUCUUCUAUAAUCCAGUUGCAUUCUUUUGGUGAUCAAGAAGAACUCUGAGUAUUAUUAGGUUUUAAACUAACAGGGCCUAAAAAUCGAUGUUUUGUUUUGUUUUGUUUUGUUUUGUUUUGUUUUGUUUUGUUUUAACUCAGCACAAAAUAUCACAGCUGAUAAGUAGGAGCAGCUUUCUUCCACUAAUAUAGAGAGAGAUCCUUGGUACUCAGCAAGGACCAUGCCAAAGUGAUGUCAUGAAAUUACUACCAUUGCUUAUUUCUUUAUUGUUUAUUGUAGGAAGUGGGGUAAAUUUUUUUUGAUUAACUUAUCCCUUCUUUUAUUUCUAGAACAUGAAAUUUCUUCUUU
rnacentral:lncRNA from 1 species